GCGAUCCCAGGUCAGGCGGGGCUACCCGCUGAGUUUAAGCAUAUCAAUAAGCGGAGGAAAAGAAACUAACGAGGAUUCCCUUAGUAGCGGCGAGCGAACCGGGAAGAGCCCAGCGUGAAAAUCGUCCGUCAUCGGCGGCCGAAUUGUAGUCUGGAGAAGCGUCCUCAGUGACGGACCGGACCCAAGUUCACUGGAAGGUGGCGCCGGAGAGGGUGAGAGCCCCGUCGUGUCCGGACCCUGUCGCACCC
rnacentral:rRNA from 1 species